AUACUCGCUCCAGCAGUACAUAUACUAAAACUGGAACAAUACAGAGAAGAUUAGCAUGGCCCCUGUGCAAAGAUAACACUCAAAUUCAUGAAGAGUUCCAUAUUUUU
rnacentral:snRNA from 1 species